ACGAACGCUGGCGGCGUGCUUAACACAUGCAAGUCGAACGGAAAGGCCCUGCUUUUGUGGGGUGCUCGAGUGGCGAACGGGUGAGUAACACGUGAGUAACCUGCCCUUGACUUUGGGAUAACUUCAGGAAACUGGGGCUAAUACCGGAUAGGAGCUCCUGCUGCAUGGUGGGGGUUGGAAAGUUUCGGCGGUUGGGGAUGGACUCGCGGCUUAUCAGCUUGUUGGUGGGGUAGUGGCUUACCAAGGCUUUGACGGGUAGCCGGCCUGAGAGGGUGACCGGCCACAUUGGGACUGAGGUACGGCCCCGACUCCUACGGGAGGCAGCAGUGGGGAAUAUUGCACAAUGGGCGGAAGCCUGAUGCAGCCACGCCGCGUGCGGGAUGACGGCCUUCGGGUUGUAAACCGCUUUCGCCUGUGACGAAGCGUGAGUGACGGUAAUGGGUAAAGAAGCACCGGCUAACUACGUG
rnacentral:rRNA from 1 species